rnacentral:rRNA from 1 species
UACGUAGGGUGCGAGCGUUAAUUGGAAUUACUGGGCGUAAAGUGUGCGCAGGCGGCGCUGCAAGUCGAGUGUGAAAUCCCCGAGCUUAACUUGGGAAUUGCGCUCGAAACUACGGCGCUGGAGUAUGGCAGAGGAAGGUGGAAUUCCACGUGUAGCGGUGAAAUGCGUAGAGAUGUGGAGGAACACCGAUGGCGAAGGCAGCCUUCUGGGCCAAUACUGACGCUCAUGCACGAAAGCGUGGGGAGCAAACAGG